rnacentral:rRNA from 1 species
UACGGAGGGUGCAAGCGUUAUCCGGAAUCAUUGGGUUUAAAGGGUCCGCAGGCGGGCGUAUAAGUCAGUGGUGAAAUCUCUCGGCUUAACCGAGAAACUGCCAUUGAUACUGUACGUCUUGAAUUCGGUCGAAGUGGGCGGAAUAUGACAUGUAGCGGUGAAAUGCUUAGAUAUGUCAUAGAACACCGAUAGCGAAGGCAGCUCACUAGGCCUGGAUUGACGCUCAGGGACGAAAGCGUGGGGAGCAAAC